GAUGAACGCUAGCGGCAGGCCUAAUACAUGCAAGACGAACGGUAAGUUGAGUAGCAAUACUUAGCCAAGAGUGUCGUACGGGUGCGUAACACGUAUGCAACCUACCCUAUACAGGAGGAUAGCCUAGGGAAACCUGGAUUAACCCUUCAUAGUAUUAUUGGAUGGCAUCAUUUGAUAAUUAAAAACUGAGGUGGUAUAGGAUGGGCAUGCGUCUGAUUAGUUAGUUGGCGGGUAAUGGCCCACCAAGACGAUGAUCAGUAGGGGUUCUGAGAGGAAGAUCCCCCACACUGGCACUGAGAUACGGGCAGACUCCUACGGGAGCAGCAGUAGGGAAUAUUGGUCAAUGGAUGCAAGUCUGAACCAGCCAUGCCGCGUGCAGGAAGAAGGCCUU
rnacentral:rRNA from 1 species